ACGGAGGGUGCAAGUGUUAUUCGGAAUCACUGGGCGUAAAGAGCACGUAGGCGGAUGGGUAAGUCAGAUGUGAAAUCCCGGGGCUCAACUUCGGAACUGCAUUUGAUACUGCUCGUCUUGAGUGUGGUAGAGGGGGAUGGAAUUCCCGGUGUAGAGGUGAAAUGCGUAGAUAUCGGGAGGAACACCAGAGGCGAAGGCGAUCCCCUGGGCCAGAACUGACGCUGAAGUGCGAAAGCGUGGGGAGCAAACAG
rnacentral:rRNA from 1 species